rnacentral:rRNA from 1 species
GAUGAACGCUAGCGAUAGGCCUAACACAUGCAAGUCGAGGGGCAUCACGGAGUAGCAAUACUUUGGUGGCGACCGGCGCACGGGUGAGUAACGCGUAUGCAAUCUACCUACAACAGGGGGAUAACCCGGAGAAAUCCGGACUAAUACCGCAUAACACAGGGGUCCCGCAUGGGAAUAUUUGUUAAAGAUUUAUCGGUUGUAGAUGAGCAUGCGUUCCAUUAGGUAGUUGGUGAGGUAACGGCCCACCAAGCCUGCGAUGGAUAGGGGAACUGAGAGGUUUGUCCACCACACUGGAGCUGAGACACGGACCAGACUCCUACGGGAGGCAGCAGUGAGGAAUAUUGGUCAAUGGGCGAGAGCCUGAACCAGCCAAAUCGCGUGAAGGAAGACUGCCUUAUGGGUUGUAAACUUCUUUUGUACAGGAAUAAAAAGAGGGACGUGUCCUUCAUUGCAUGUACUGUACGAAUAAGCAUCGGCUAACUCCGUGCCAGCCGCCGCCGUAA